rnacentral:rRNA from 1 species
UACGGGGGGAGCAAGCGUUGUUCGGAUUUACUGGGCGUAAAGGGCGCGUAGGCGGCGUGAUAAGUCACUUGUGAAAUCUCCGGGCUUAACUCGGAACGGUCAAGUGAUACUGUCGUGCUAGAGUACAGAAGGGGCAACUGGAAUUCUCGGUGUAGCGGUGAAAUGCGUAGAUAUCGAGAGGAACACCUGCGGCGAAGGCGGGUUGCUGGGCUGAUACUGACGCUGAGGCGCGAAAGCCAGGGGAGCGAACGGG